rnacentral:lncRNA from 1 species
CAAGUCAACAUAGUUCAGUCUGACAUGAUGGGUUCAGCUCAUGUUGAGUACGAUUUACAGUGGGUUGAAUUGAGUUUUCUUAUAUGAAUAGUUAGAUAUAGAUUAAGCACAUCAAAUGAUGAACAAACGGUUGUGGCUUAGUCCUUUGUAAUUUCUCUGUCCGCUCGACAAGUUCUUUUGCUGCGUGCAUUAAUUCCUAUCCUUUCUUUUUGGGCUGAUCUUGCUACUAAAUGUAAUGCAUUGACCUAGUUGGCGACCUAUUUGUUGGUUAUAUUGAUUUAUGCAGGUUCAUUUAUUUUUUGUUAAACUAACUUUUCGCGGAAACCGCUCCAAUGAAGCUAGAUUAA